UACAGAGGGUGCAAGCGUUGUUCGGAAUUACUGGGCGUAAAGCGCGCGUAGGCGGCUGGAUAAGUCGAUUGUGAAAGCCCCGGGCUCAACCCCGGAACUGCAUCCGAUACUGCGUGGCUAGAGGUAGGUAGGGGAGAUCGGAAUUCCUGGUGUAGCGGUGAAAUGCGCAGAUAUCAGGAGGAACACCGGUGGCGAAGGCGGAUCUCUGGGCCUUACCUGACGCUCAGGCACGAAAGCUAGGGGAGCGAACAGG
rnacentral:rRNA from 1 species